rnacentral:lncRNA from 10 species
AGUUCCCAAGGUCUUUUCCCCCCUUUUUUAUAGAGCUGAAAUCCCUCAGAAAUGGUCCAAGAUCCAAAUAAUGUUCUUAUCUGUGGUUUUCUUUGGAGAUCGUUCAGCAGUAGACACAGAUAUCCAGACACGUACCCAGCUCUGUUGUAGGGAGCUCUAUAUAUGGAGGGGGCAGGUGUUGCCAAAUGGUAAAACACUGCUCGCUUGCCUCCCCUGUCAGUCUCAAAAUGGAAAACUUAUUUUAUUCACAAAUGUGACUUUAAAAAUGCCAAGUUCCAAGAUGCCAAUAUAAAUUUGAUAUAUUUUGAACAAAGCACACCCAAAUUACUCUUUGAUCACACUUUAUCUUUUCAAUGAAGAUGGGAACUCCAGCAUGGAGUGCCAGAAAAUGGACUACAAGACAUCGUCUAUACUCAGCAGCCAAGAUAGUGUUUCAUGAAGCCCACUUACCUGAACGGGGUGCAUCUAAUUGAAGCAUUUAGCCUUCGCUUUGAAGGCAUUGAAGGAAGAUGGCUGUUUAAUGAUGAAGAUGAAGAAGAGCCUGAAAAUGCUAAAGAGGAAGAAUGAUAACAGCUUGUUAUUGGCAGGACAAAGGGGCCCAAACAAAGGAAGGCAUUGCUAUGGUUUGAAUGUGUGCCCCAAAGUUCUUGUGCUGGGAACUUGAUCCUCAGUGUCGUGGUGCUGACAGGUGAAGCCUAAUGAGGGGUGUUUGGUUUAUGUGGGUACUGCCCUCAUGGACAAAUUAAUGCUCCUAUUGUGGGAGGUGGUUCCUUAUAAAAGGGUGAGUUUGUCCCUCACCACCUCUUCUUGGCCUUCUGCCUUCCUCCAUGGGGUGACACAGCAAGAAUGCCCUCACCAAAUGCCAGAGGCUUGACCUUGGACUUCCCAGCCUCCAGAACUGUGAAAACAUAAAUUUCUGUUCAUGAUAAAUUACCCAGUUUUAGGUAUUCUGUUGUAGGAUCACCAAAUGGACUAACACA